rnacentral:pre_miRNA from 1 species
AUUGGAAUUGCUGGGAUGUAUGUUAAUUCAAAGUGUUUGAGAAACUACCAAACUAUUUUUGACAGUGGCUGUACCAUUUUACAUUCCCACCAGCAGU